UUUUAUGUGCAUACAUAAGCAUAGAAUAACAAUUUUUCAUCUAUUUCCUUUUCAUAGAUAUCAAGAAUGUGGAUUUUAUGGACGUGCACAGUGAUAUUUUUACUGGUCAGAGAGUGUCACUGCAUUCAAAAGACCACGUUAUCUAAGAACUGGGGACCACAGUCAAUGCUUUACCUAAAGGGAAAACAUGGAAGACGGUUUGUUCCUGACAUUGAUGAUAUUAUUUCAAGUUCAGGGUUGAAAAGCUGGUACGCAGUUCUCAAAGGGUUUCAGAAACUGAAGUCGCUGAAUGCAAGAAAACAAUCAGGAUUGUUCACAAUGCAGAACUUUGUUAUCCGUUAACUUUUUGUUUGCUGGGUCUGUACAGUGUGCCAUAUUUUGUAAUGUUUACGAUUCAAAAUAAAUCUAUUUAUGUCAAAUAUGUGGGAGAAUUU
ensembl:lncRNA